rnacentral:rRNA from 1 species
AGUGAACGCUGGCGGUAGGCCUAACACAUGCAAGUCGAACGGCAGCACAGUAAGAGCUUGCUCUUACGGGUGGCGAGUGGCGGACGGGUGAGGAAUACAUCGGAAUCUACUUUUUCGUGGGGGAUAACGUAGGGAAACUUACGCUAAUACCGCAUACGACCUACGGGUGAAAGCAGGGGAUCUUCGGACCUUGCGCGAUUGAAUGAGCCGAUGUCGGAUUAGCUAGUUGGCGGGGUAAAGGCCCACCAAGGCGACGAUCCGUAGCUGGUCUGAGAGGAUGAAUCAGCCAAACUGGAACUGGGAAACGGUCCAAACUCCAACGGAGGGCAGCAGUGGGGAAUAUUGGACAAUGGGGGCAAGCCUGAUCCAGCCAUACGGGGUGGGUGAAGAGGGCCUUCGGGUUGUAAAGCCCUUUUGUGGGGAAAGAAAGCAGCAGGUUAAUACCCCGCUGUUCUGACGGUACCCAAAGAAUAAGCACCGGCUAACUUCGUG